ACCUACUUUCAGGACUUCUCUUUUUGCUGAGAGCUUUCCUUUCACUUAAUAAAUUCUACUCCACUCACUCUUCACGCUUCGACAUGCCUACUUCUUCCUGGUUGUAAGACAAGAAGCCAGACCUAACUGAGCUAAGGAGCAAAAAAUCCUGUGUCAUUUUGGGGGCUCACCCCGGAUGUCUGGAGGAUGUUUAAAUGCAGAAGACUUCUAGAGUCUUCAAGAUGAUCAGUGUUGACUUAGGUUCCUCUAAGCCCAUCAAAGUGCAAAUGAAAAGAAUUUCAACGUUUUAACUAAGGACAAGGUCUGGCUAUAUCUCUCUGGAUGGACUUGAACUCCUAGGCUCAAGAAUCCUCGUGCCUCAGCCUCCUUAGUAGCUGGGACUACAACCACACCACUCUGCCUGGCUCCACUGUGCCUGGCUCCAACUUACAUUAUUAAACACAAUUUUAUUAACUGCCCUCCUCCAAAUGUUCUUAAUAUAUAUUUUAAAAAUAGCAAAUAUAACUCAAAGAGUCAUUCUUAGACAAAAAGAAUUGUAAGACAUAAAUGAAAGAUUAGAUUGUUUUAAAAAAUGUAAACAUAUUUAUUAAUGUCACAAUGAAUUCAGUGUAAUGACUACAAUAUUGAAAACUUUUAUUUGUAAUAAAAUGGGCUCUUUUAAAGUCUGAGUUAAAUAUUUCCAGAUUUAUUUUGAGAUCAACAAUCUAAAUGUUGCAUACUUGCCACUA